ensembl:snRNA U1 U1 spliceosomal RNA
AUACUUACCUGGCAGGGGAGAUACCAUGAUCACGAAGGUGGUUUUCCCAGGGCGAGGCUCACCCAUUGCACUGCGGGUGUGCUGACCCCUGCGAUUUCCCCAAAUGUGGGAAACUCGACUGCAUAAUUUGUGGUAGUGGGGGACUGCGUUCGCGCUCUCCCCUG